GGCCUCUUGCCCAUUGAGCUGCUGGGGAUCCCACUGCUCCUCAGCCAGGGCUGGAGGCUGAGAUCAGCCCUGGAGCAUCUUCAGAGUUGAAGCCUUGUUUUCUUGCCUCCGAUAUGU
ensembl:scaRNA